AUUGAACGCUGGCGGCAUGCUUUACACAUGCAAGUCGAACGGUAACAGGCCGCAAGGUGCUGACGAGUGGCGAACGGGUGAGUAAUGCAUCGGAACGUGCCCAGUCGUGGGGGAUAACGCAGCGAAAGCUGCGCUAAUACCGCAUACGAUCUAUGGAUGAAAGCGGGGGACCGUAAGACCUCGCGCGAUUGGAGCGGCCGAUGUCAGAUUAGGUAGUUGGUGGGGUAAAGGCUCACCAAGCCAACGAUCUGUAGCUGGCCUGAGAGGAAGACCAGCCACACUGGGACUGAGACACGGCCCAGACUCCUACGGGAGGCAGCAGUGGGGAAUUUUGGACAAUGGGCGCAAGCCUGAUCCAGCAAUGCCGCGUGCAGGAAGAAGGCCUUCGGGUUGUAAACUGCUUUUGUACGGAACGAAACGGUCCUGGUUAAUACCUGGGGCUAAUGACGGUACCGUAAGAAUAAGCACCGGCUAACUACGUGCCAGCCGCCGCCGUAAGAC
rnacentral:rRNA from 1 species